CCCUUGGGCCAUCCCUUACAACCAUGUUUUUGACUUCUUGAAAAUGACUCUUUCACAGGAUGCAGAGGGUUGUCAGUGACUCGGGAGUUGUGGGUGUGCCCGUCUUAUCAAUCCCCACAGCCUUGCCUGUGGAGAUGCCCUAUCUGUCCCCACUCUGUCAAGCCCAGGGAAAGGCGUGGGGUCAGAGGAUUUGGCUCUGUCACACCAUUCACUGCCUGCCCUUCUUCCCAGCGCUUCCAAGAUCUGGUUGUAUUAAACACGAGAAUGAAGAGAGGAAAACACCUUCGCCCACGGUGUGCUCUGGGGACAUCUCCAGGUGUGGGUGGUGGCGUCAGCCACAGGACAGGUCAGCUUGUCCUGGCAGAUGCUAUCCAUGGCAGUGCUUCCCUGCCUGGGCCUGGGGAGAGGCCCUCCUGGGAGAUUCCUCUUCUGGCUGAGCCUGUACCUGGGCCUGUGUGCAGGACUCAGACUCUCUUGGACAGAAAUCUUCGUCCCCGUGAAAUGCUGCCAUGUCCCGAGAGACAAGAAAAGAUGCUGUGAAUGUCACGUAUGCUUCCUGGCUACACUCAAGUUCUCAAGGAAUGGAUGUGCCUGAUCCCCUGUCUUACCAGAUAAGGGCCCUCACUGAGGAUGCUCUAGGAACCCACAAGGUGAAGAAGAGGUGCCCCUUCCUUGAAGACUCAGCUGGCAGAGAGGAGAAGCAGCGGGACAUCAGGACUAUGGCUGGACGUCAGAGAGAAGCAGCUUAACUUCAGAGGUGCAGCUUGAUGGUGUAACUUAGGAGAAGAAUCUGACUGGAGACGGCCAGACUUCAGAAGAAGAUGACCUACCCCCCCAUCCCCUUUUCAGCUUCCCUUCCCGCUGAGAGCCACUUUUAUUGGCAAUAAAAUCCUCCACAUUUACCACCUUUCAAUGUGUUCAUGUGACUUCAUUAUUCCUGGACACCGGACAAGAGCUCAGGGGCCACAGGUGUGGAUAUGAAA
rnacentral:lncRNA from 1 species